rnacentral:lncRNA from 1 species
AGCCCGGGACAGCGCUGCACCUGUUGCCACGUGCGACGCGGCGCUCAGCGGCUGCCACUGCCGCCGGCGCACCUGGCUGCACCGCGCGUCCCGGGACCACGCUCGUCCCCGCAGGAGCCCGGGGCUCCGCCGCACCCAGCGCUAGGGCCCAGGCCGGGCCGCGGUAGGUGGGGGAUCUGACUCCUGCUUGCCUCUGGCCACCUGCAGGCCGAGGGGCCUCGCACCGCGGGGCGUAUAGAAGGUGGGAAGGUUGCAGAAUUAUCAGGGCGGAAGCUUGCAAGGAAGGAGUCGUGAUUGUCUCUUAGAAGGGCUGAUUCGCAGUCUGUAUUAUCUUCAUGCUUCUAGCAAGUUUACUAGCAAGUGUGUAUUAAAGGUUAAAGAAAGUAGCUUUCCAGCUAUUAGAGCUUGAGAUACAACGUGGAAAGGAGUCUAGAACCCCAGGGAGAUAAACUAGGCUCGACCUACUUUUCUCUAAACACAAACACAGUCCUUGCUGUUUGCUAAACUGAGCAAAUUUCAUCGACAGCUGUCUUCUAGGUCCGUAAAAUAUUUUCUUCUAUAAAGCAUAUUUUUAAUAGAAAACUUGUCCGAAGAUGCUAUUCUGCCUGUGAGAGAUGUCACAUUGCUGAACCGUGAAAUGUCAGACAACCUGAGAACAAAAUUUUAAUAUUUCCUUUUUAAUUACCUGGAUUGUGGUUUGCUAAAAGCUUUUAAAGAGAAGUGAACUUUUUUGGAGAAUAGACGUAAGGACUCUGUAUUUCACAGUUUUCUAUACCAUGAAUAUUAGAAUAACUGACAGAUGUCUUGCCAUUGAUAGUUGUAAAGACUUUUCAUAUGUACAAUGAUCCAUUAUUUCCUGACUACAAAACCCAGGGGUAUAUAGGUCAGAUUAUCUCCAUUAUUCAAAUGAGGAAUUGAAGCUCAGAAAGGUCAAGUGACUAGCGCAAGGUCACACAGCCAGUGAGGGCAAGUGCAAACCCAGCCAGCCUAACUCCUAAUCUUCUCUUUUAAUUCCAUUACAUAAUGACACCUCUCAUUUGCUUCAGAAAUCCCUGUUGUAAAGAUAGAUGCAACUAGCAUGAUCCGUGUUGUUAGGAAAGGCAUGUGAUUAAUUUUAAAUAGAUAUAGUAUUUAACACCACCAGAUGAGUCUCCCUCUGAAAAAGCACACAAAAACAAAACAAAACGCUGACAUAGUUUCCGCAAGUCACGAGGCAAUUAUGCUAAUUAGCAACAAGCCUCCAUCCCUAAGCAGAAUAGUUCUUGUGUGAAACAUAUCAUUUAAUCUUUAUAACCCUGAUGUGACCUAGAUGAUUUGGUCUAAACCCCACAAUCCUAUUGUGUGGCUUAGUUAUAUCUAUAAAUAUAGAACCUGUUUUACUUCAUUUUUGUGUCAGGUGGUUUGAAGGGGGGAAACAUACAAUGCUCUGCUAAGUAAUUAGAGCUACUUACGCAGGCAUUGGGGAAUCUGAAACUUAGCUUCUAAUUGUCUCCACAUAAAAACAGAAGUUAACUUCUAGGGACAUCUUCAGGGACUCCUCAAGGCAAAUAUUCAUGAAAUGGGGCCUAUUGGCUUUUCUUUUCAUCUUGGUUCUGGGCAUGUUGCCAUGUUCCUGAUCUCUGAACUCUGAUGCUGACCUGCUACAGACUCCAGGAGCAAUAUUAAGGAUAAAAUAAUAACUCACAUAACUUUGUGGCUCUUUAUUCUAAAAAAAAAAAAAAAAGUUGGCUCAAUUUUUUUUCCUCCAUAAGAAAAUGCAAAUUGCAACUGUAUUGAGAAACCAUUUUUUCACUUAUCAGAUUGUCAAAGAUUAGAAAGUUUGAUAAUCACAGUGUUGGUAAAAGUGUAGACUAGCAGUCACAAUGAAAAUGUAAAUGUAAAUUAUAAUGACCUCCCUAGGGGGAAGGUCAGGAUACCUAACAAUAUUGCAACUAUACGUAUAAGAGUUUAUCUUGGCCCUGCGUGGUGGCACGGUGACUCAUGCCUGCAAUCCCAGCACUUGGGGAGGCCGAGGCGGGCAGAUCACCUGAGGUCAGGAGUUGGAGACCAGCCUGGCCAACAUGGUGAAACCCUGUCUCAACUAAAAAUACAAAAAUUAGCCAGACAUGAUAGCAGGCGCCUGUAAUCCCAGCUACUUGGGAGGCUGAGGCAGGAGAAUCCCUUGAACCUGGAAAGCGAAGUUUGCAGUGAGCCGAGAUUGUGACACUGCACUCCAGCCUGGGCAACGCACCGCGACUCUGUCUCAAAAAAAAAAAAAGAGUUUAUCUUACAACACACAGGAGAAAUGAGUUAGUUCUUUAGAUCAGAGGUCCCCAACCCCAGGACUGCGGACUGCCACUGGUCUUUGGCCUGUCAGGCACCCGGCCACACAGCUGGAGUGUGAAAAAAAAGGAAAAAACUGAAAAUCUCAAGAGGAUUCCAGGAAAUCAAAACAAUGAAUUAUUGAAUCAAGAAUUUGAAAGAGAAAAUAGAUGCAUACUGAAAAAAGAAUUUUGUUUAGUGAGAUAGAUGUAAUAAUGAAGGCAUGUUGAUAACGGGGGAGCUAUGUAUAUAUGAGGGGAGGGAUAUAUUGGAAAUCUCUGUAUCUUCCUCUCAAUCUUGCUGUGAUCCUAAAACUGCUCUAAAAAAUAUUUUGAGAAGGAAUAAUGAUGUGGUAAACAUGUUCUGUUAUUUAAAAAGAGAGACUUUUCAUAGCCGCCUCCCUCCCCCUCUACACACACACAGAGUCCUGUCCGUCUUCAUUCCCUUACUCAAUAAUUUGUACAGACACAGCCACUGGGCUCCAGUAAUCCUAAAGUUUCUAGAAAAUCAAGCACAGAAAAAGGUUAAAACCCUGAGGGAAUAAAAGAAUUCCUUUGCAUCCAUUGCAUUUCUCAGGAAGUGAACUAACAAAUUCACUGCUUUUAAAUGAGGAAAUUUUCUCAGUGAAAUUGAUUCCAAACCUUCGUUAGGUCAACUGUUCCCAGAUUUCUUAGCUGAUGCCUGAUCUGACUAUUCCUUAUCUUUAGUACAGAAACCAAGGUGAAUGACCUUUAAAAAACAUAUUAGACUGUUGACGUGUCUUCUAUGUUGUACUCUAGGUAAAAACGAUAAACCAGGAAAAAGAAAGUAAAAUUCAACCUUAGGCUCAUGGAUCCAGAGUGGAUAAUUAUGAGUCUGUAGUAUCUACAUGCAUGUGAUGAGGUUCAAGGACAAUAACCAUAAAGCAAAGACUUAAAAGGUUUUAUCAUUAGAAUAAUUGUAAUUCACUUGAUCUCUCAAUGUAACAAUACUUCGGUCUACUGUCUCAAGCCAUUAUUAUGUCUUACACUCAGCAUAUUGGUUUGUCUACCAUUAAAUAUUUAUUUUCUACAGUGCUUUCUGGAAGGCAAACAAAGCAGCCACUCUGCUACUUUAUAUUGAUUCCUGAGUUGUCCUUCGGAAACGCUUUCAGGAAGUUUAAUAGGUUUGAAAGAUAUUUAGACCUGUGACUGGCAAAUAUACUUCCUUCUUUUUAUUUCAAUAAGAGAGUACUAGAACUUAGAUCUUUAUUGUUUAAUCUAGUCAGUGCUGUCAUUGUCAAUCAAGUUCUCAAAUGACACUUGUCCUGAGCUGUAACUGAUCUAUUCAGAAGAAUAUGAAAAUAGUAAAGACGGCAACUAUGCAUGUUUUUACCGGACACGAUUUUAAUUGCUUUAAAAUGAAGUUAUGCAACCAAUGAGGAAUGGAGCUUUUGGAGUGGCCUGAAGCUAAAGGUUUCAGGUGUAUUUUUGCUUUCUUUGAAGAAAGAACCAAAUCAUUUUAUUUAAUAAAAAGGCCAUUUAUCAAGAAUUUCUUAAAGCUGUUUUAAACCUGAGUUUGCAAUUUAUAGAAUAUGUUCAAGCAGCCUCAGUGCCCUUUUAAUUGGAUGGUUUUCACAGAUUUAUCCAAUUUGAGAUUUAUCCAGUGAGAAUUCCCUUUGUUCAAGUAUAUAUGUCUUCUCUUCCAUAAAGCAGAUUCAAAUGAAAGAGUGCAAUCUGAUAUAUCAGACAUGUCAGUUAUACAUUUGAUGUGGUAAAUUUAUAAGAGAGGCCAAUUAUUGUUAUGAAAAAAUACAAUGAAAUACAUGAUAGUCAUUUACUGUUUUUAUAACUAAUCUAAAAGUAUUUACUAAAAAGAAACUAUUUCUUUUCAUAUGUACUUUACUUUUUACUUUAACCCUUCAUAUGUCCUUUAAAUAAAGAGAAGAAAAAAAGUCAUUUAUAUUUAUCCACAUAUUUUCUAUUUCAGGUGGUCCUCAUUCAUUCUUGUAGAUCCAAGUUACCAUCUGUUAUUAUUUUCUUUGUCACCUGAAGAAUUUUCAGAACUAUUUCUUCCUAUAUGUAGCAUGUAUAGAUACUCUAAAAAGUCCAUUAUAUGAUGUAUAAAACAAAGCAUACAAUGUAGUCUCUGCCCUAAUUAUUUGUAAUUUAUAUAAAACCUUUUAUUUUUU